ACGUACGUACGGAUCGUCGGUCUACCGAGUAAUAUCACCCGCUCUGUGGAAGAUUUUCCCUCCGACGU
rnacentral:pre_miRNA from 1 species